ensembl:lncRNA
GAGAACUGUCCCUUAGAUAAAGUCACUGAAGAACUGGAGUGGUGGAGAAUCAAAGUCAAGAAGCAGAAGGCAGCUUGUAACUGCAGGAGCAGAAGAGAGUUCAUAACAGUUUCCACAGUAACAGAUUCAGUGCCAAUGUCAACAUAAGGACAGAAGCAUUUCCAAUCUGUGAGUGCACUGUUUCCAGUGCUCCCAGUUGGAAGCCAAACCAAGAGGCCAAUCCAGGUAUUUUUGCAAUGAAUGCAUUGAUGGAAGAAAGAAAACAGACAUCUUGGCCAUUAAUGGGAGCCUGAAAUGCAAACACUUCACAAAAGGUUUAAAUAAGAAAGUGAUACCAAUACAGGACACAAACUGUUUCAUGGUAUCUCAGAGGAGGAAGAGGUGACACUAGCCAUGCACUGGAUUAAAUCAUUCUGAAUUUGUUAGCCACCUAAAAUUGUGAAUACUGGGUAGAAUAUAAAAACAGAAAGGGAAACAGGGCAAUUUUAUGUAGAAUUUGCUUCAGCCAGG